AGUCGAACGGUAACAGAAAAAGCUUGCUUGUUGCUGACGAGUGGCGAACGGGUGCGUAACGCGUAUGCAACCUACCUUUUUCAGAGGGAUAGCCCAGAGAAAUUUGGAUUAAUACCUCAUAAUAAUAUUUUCUCGCAUGAUUAAAUAUUUAAAGUUUCGGCGGAAAAAGAUGGGCAUGCGUAACAUUAGUUUGUUGGUGAGGUAACGGCUCACCAAGACUACGAUGUUUAGGGGUUCUGAGAGGAUGAUCCCCCACACUGGUACUGAGACACGGACCAGACUCCUACGGGAGGCAGCAGUGAGGAAUAUUGGUCAAUGGACGAAAGUCUGAACCAGCCAUGCCGCGUGAAGGAUGACUGCCCUAUGGGUUGUAAACUUCUUUUGUAUAGGAAGAAACCCCUCUACGUGUAGAGGGCUGACGGUACUAUUCGAAUAAGCACCGGCUAAACUCCGUGCCAGCAGCCGCGGUAAUACGGAGGGUGCGAGCGUUUAUCCGGAAUUAUUGGGGUUAAAGGGUGCGUAGGCGGAAUUUAAAGUCAGUGGUGAAAGCCUAC
rnacentral:rRNA from 1 species